rnacentral:rRNA from 1 species
CACCCAGACUCCUACGGGAGGCAGCAGUGAGGAAUAUUGGUCAAUGGGCGAGAGCCUGAACCAGCCAAGUCGCGUGAGGGAAGACGGUCCUAUGGAUUGUAAACCUCUUUUGUCGGGGAGCAAAAAGGCCUCGUGAGGCCACAAGUGAGAGUACCCGAAGAAAAAGCAUCGGCUAACUCCGUGCCAGCAGCCGCGGUAAUACGGAGGAUGCGAGCGUUAUUCGGAUUUAUUGGGUUUAAAGGGUGCGUAGGCGGACUGGAAAGUCAGCGGUAAAAUCGAGAGGCUCAACCUCUUUCCGCCGUUGAAACUGUCGGUCUUGAGUGGGCGAGAAGUAUGCGGAAUGCGUGGCGUAGCGGUGAAAUGCAUAGAUAUCACGCAGAACUCCGAUUGCGAAGGCAGUUCACUGGACUGCAACUGACACUGAGGCUCGAAAGUGUGGGUAUCAAACAGGAUUAGAUACCCGAGUA